CGUACACUCCUACGGGAGGCAGCAGUGGGGAAUAUUGCACAAUGGGCGCAAGCCUGAUGCAGCCAUGCCGCGUGUAUGAAGAAGGCCUUCGGGUUGUAAAGUACUUUCAGCGGGGAGGAAGGCAAUACGGUUAAUAACCGUGUUGAUUGACGUUACCCGCAGAAGAAGCACCGGCUAACUCCGUGCCAGCAGCCGCGGUAAUACGGAGGGUGCAAGCGUUAAUCGGAAUUACUGGGCGUAAAGCGCACGCAGGCGGUCUGUCAAGUCGGAUGUGAAAUCCCCGGGCUCAACCUGGGAACUGCAUUCGAAACUGGCAGGCUUGAGUCUUGUAGAGGGGGGUAGAAUUCCAGGUGUAGCGGUGAAAUGCGUAGAGAUCUGGAGGAAUACCGGUGGCGAAGGCGGCCCCCUGGACAAAGACUGACGCUCAGGUGCGAAAGCGUGGGGAGCAAACAGGAUUAGAAACCCUAGUAGUCCCA
rnacentral:rRNA from 1 species